GGGCAACAUGGCUGAAGGUGGAUACAGGGCAGGAGGAACAGAGACACCGGAAGAGGAAGAUCUAAGAAUGUGGGCAGAUAUGAUGAGACACACAGAUGAAGACUGCAGAUCUCCACAUGUCAGACGCAACAGUGACACCUCUCCCUCCAGAAGAGACGAGGCAGAGGAGUCUCAACUAAAACAUCUUCACUUCUUCUACAUUGGUUUGAUUUAAAGAUCUUUUAAAUGUUUAUUAAAAUUAUAACGCUCAGUCGACUGUCUGUCCCUCUACACUCCUCUAACCUGCCUUCAGGUCAUCAAACACCAGAGCAUCAAGUGUACCAACAGUUGAAACAAUAAAGUAUUGAAGGGAAACCUUUUGUUAUAAUGGACCGAGACUGUGGACAGCUUGUCUAUAAAUAUUAAACAUGAAACUUCUGUAAACUCCUUCAACAAACAUUUCAAGACUGAACUGUAGAAUCUGGGUUAAAUUAGUUACAUCGUGAGUUCAUGAAGUAUUUUCUACUCUGUGACCACUCAGUCUCUCAGUGUUUAUGAUUAUGUAUGAAUUCAGAGAAUAAACUGUAUUAUGUUGUA